GCGAUGAAGCGGGAGGUUGCGGCUGAAACAGGCCGGUUUUUUCCGUGGAGUAUGUCCGAUUUUAAACCGGGCG
rnacentral:ncRNA from 1 species